rnacentral:tRNA from 1 species
GUUCUUUUAGUGUAAAUAACACGCUACUUUUUCGUGGUAGAAAUAAAGAAAUCUUUAAAGAAUA